UYYUKGKYYWMMWUUUGAGGAAGUAAAAGUCGUAACAAGGUUUCCGUAGGUGAACCUGCGGAAGGAUCAUUAUUGAAUAAACUUGGUCAAGUUGUUGCUGGUCCCUCGGGGCAUGUGCACGCUUGCCACCAAUUUUAACCACCUGUGCACCUUUUGUAGGCUGGAAACGAUUCUCGAGGCAACUCGGUUUGAGGACUGCUGUGCGAAAGCUGGCUUUCCUUGUGUUUCUCAGUCUAUGUUUUAUUAUACCCCGCAUGUAUGUAUCAGAAUGUAUUGCUAGGCCUAGUGCCUAUAAAUCAAAUACAACUUUCAACAACGGAUCUCUUGGCUCUCGCAUCGAUGAAGAACGCAGCGAAAUGCGAUAAGUAAUGUGAAUUGCAGAAUUCAGUGAAUCAUCGAAUCUUUGAACGCACCUUGCGCUCCUUGGUAUUCCGAGGAGCAUGCCUGUUUGAGUGUCAUUAAAUUCUCAACCUUACAAGUUUUUUGAACCUGUAUGGCUUGGAUCAUGGGAACUGCGGGCUUUAACAAGUCGGCUUUCCUUAAAUGCAUUAGCAGAACUUUUGUUGCUAACCUCUGGUGUGAUAAUUAUCUACGCUAUUGGGAAGCGACAUGUUGAAGUACCGCUUCUAAUCGUCUGUCAUGGACAACCUUUGACAAUCUGACCUCAAAUCAGGUAGGACUACCCGCUGAACUUAAGCAUAUCAWAA
rnacentral:rRNA from 1 species